rnacentral:rRNA from 1 species
CGGGGUGCAGCAGGCGCGAAAACUUUACAAUGCGGGAAACCGUGAUAAGGGGACACCGAGUGCCAGCAUCAUAUGCUGGCUGUCCAGGUGUGUAAAAUACACCUGUUAGCAAGGGCCGGGCAAGACCGGUGCCAGCCGCCGCGGUAACACCGGCGGCCCGAGUGGUGAUCGUGAUUAUUGGGUCUAAAGGGUCCGUAGCCGGUUUGGUCAGUCCUCCGGGAAAUCUGACGGCUCAACCGUUAGGCUUUCGGGGGAUACUACCAGGCUUGGAACCGGGAGAGGUAAGAGGUACUACAGGGGUAGGAGUGAAAUCUUGUAAUCCCUGUGAGACCACCUGUGGCGAAGGCGUCUUACCAGAACGGGUUCGACGGUGAGGGACGAAAGCUGGGGGCACGAACCGGAUUAGAUACCCGGGUAGUCCCAGCCGUAAACGAUACUCGCUAGGUGUCAGGCAUGGCGCGACCGUGUCUGGUGCCGCAGGGAAGCCGUGAAGCGAGCCACCUGGGAAGUACGGCCGCAAGGCUGAAACUUAAAGGAAUUGGCGGGGGAGCACAAGGGCGAAUNGC